AUACGGAGGAUCCGAGCGUUAUCCGGAUUUAUUGGGUUUAAAGGGAGCGUAGGCGGACGCUUAAGUCAGUUGUGAAAGUUUGCGGCUCAACCGUAAAAUUGCAGUUGAUACUGGGUGUCUUGAGUACAGUACAGGUGGGCGGAAUUCGUGGUGUAGCGGUGAAAUGCUUAGAUAUCACGAAGAACUCCGAUCGCGAAGGCAGCUCACCGGGCCGGAACUGACACUGAUGCUCGAAAGUGCGGGUAUCAAACAGGAUUAGAUACCCUGGUAGUCCGCACAGUAAACGAUGAAUACUCGCUGUUUGCGAUACACGGUAAGCGGCCAAGCGAAAGCGUUAAGUAUUCCACCUGGGGAGUACGCCGGCAACGGUGAAACUCAAAUGAAUUGACGGGG
rnacentral:rRNA from 1 species